GGCCGCCGUCUCCCGCUAGAGGGACCCGAGCUGCCUCCGCGGCCGUCUCGCCCCAACCGACGGCGAGCGCCUCCGGAGCCGGGACGGCGUUCUCGUCACUUAGAUCUGGCACGUAGUGGGGCCUAGCAAGAGGCUGCCAGGUGGAAGGAAGCAGAGGUGGCGCGGGCCCGGCACUUAGUGGGUGCGCCCUGAGUGUUCGGUCAUUGCCGGCCUUGGGGACUUGCUCGCAGGCUUGGAGGUGGGGGGCACUCUGACGUGUCGCCUCUGGGAGAACCGUGAGACCCGCGGUGAGCAGAGUUGACGACUGGCAACCAGGACCUCCCAGGGGUAGCCUGGGAGAUCUCUUGAGAGACGGGGGAAGCUCUGACUGUGCAAGGUCUCCUGUGGUACCUCCCCCACUGGCUGAACCCAAGAGGAAACCUAAGUGGAAGUGAGCCCAGAUGACAGUGUCCUUCAACGCUAGCCUCUGGGAAAGAACGGAGGGUGGAUCUGGAAAGACAAAGGCAGAAUAUCUAGCAGCUCCAGAAGUACUGGCUUGGAUCAGGAAUGUAACACAUCACUGCUGAACUAACUCCUGAAAGGUGGUUCAGAACAGAAGUUUUUAAAGGUACAAGACUUCAGUUUGAACAGAAGACUCAGGUGUUUCACAGAGACAGCCCUAUCACCACCCUCAUCAUCAAGGGAAUCACACAUCCCAAUAAGGCACUUAGAAUUCAAGGCAUGGAGGGAGCCCUUGGCAGAGCCUUAAGGCAGAAACCAGAGUGGAGAGCAAAAGGAGGAAGCAGAGAGCAUGGGCUUGAUUUCAGGAGCUUUGGCUAAAAUGGAGGAGGGGCGAGAAGGCAAUAGCUGGAGCGGGAAGUGAGGGCAAGGAAUGGGUGAGACCCUAAACGCCGUGGGGAGGACAGAGUGGAGUGGGAGAGGCUGACGGCAAAUCGCCGAAGAUCUGUUGUUUCCCCUAAAGGUGCCCAGAAGGCAGACAGGAGGGCUCUAGGGCAGAGGUGGGAGGGUCUGGCUUUCGCUGGGAAGACACUUCCGCUUGUGCACUGGCGGGGAGGAGUCAACUAUGGUGUGGCUGCAGGUGCUGGCUCCAAAGUAACCAC